AACACCAACAUUAAAUAUACACAAACUCGAUCGUAUAAUACUCUUUCUAUUCCAACUCUAAGAUACCUUUGUUUAUUACUUCCUUUGUUACACACAACGUGUCGUUUAUAGCUAUUAUUUUUGUUGAAAAGAAAGUCUGACAUUUUCAAAACUCUCUUAUUCAAAGCUAAUAAAAUUUAACUUAUAUCAUAAUAUAGUUAAUAGUAUAUAUACUCCUGUAUCGAGUAAUAAAAGUUCUUAAAUAAAUCUUUUGUUAGUGUUCAAAAAGUUUUAAUUCAAGGAAUUUUUUUUUAACAUUUGAUAUGUUUGUUAAUUAAGGUACGACUAUUACGAUAUAGUUAUAUCUAUAUUUAUAUGCUUAUGCUUCUGAGAUGUACCCACAACAUAUAAAUGUAUUUAAAUACAAUAUAGUAAGAUUACCUCGGGGAUGGCUGUUGCCAGACAGGUUCGGCAGUCAGAAGGGGAGGCGUCGCCGCGGCAUAGGCCCAAACCAUUGACGUUGUCAGGUUUGUUACCAGUCGAGAGAGCGGCAAAACCGCUUGAUGGAACACUGUAAGAGAGACGAGGAAAGAGACUGUUGAGGUUUGACUCGUACGGACUCCUCGAAGUGAAGUUCCCUUCAAUGUCAGAACACUUGUGGUAGAGGAACGCAUUGUCCUGACUUUGGGACAAAACGCUGUGUAUAAAGAGAAGUUGUAUGGCUAAAGCCAACAGAGAGAGUGAAACGCUGCGUUUAGACGAGGAGGAUGAAGACAUUGUUUUAGGAAUGUCGAUACUAGUUUUUUUUCUGGUAGGAGUAAUGUUGAGGUUCAUAUGGAUUAUAUAGUGCUGCUGAAUGAUCGUCGGUUUUGGGUGGUCUUUAAGUUAUUUAUUUAAUAAUAUUAUUAGAAGAGUUGAAGUGUUCAGUUUUGUACGGUUUGGAUUAGGGCGUAUUCAAAGCUUGAGAAUGGAUGUUUCUUUUCAACCAAAAAGUCAAUUUAGAUGAUUUGGCCUCAUCAGAUUCUAGAAUAAAAUAAAAAUGUGACGGUGAUGAAAAAGGGAGUUGACGCUUGGUAUUGAGGCCACGAGUGGGUCGAUGAACAUUCAAAACUUUGACUAAGUGUAACUCUUAAUACGUCCGGUGCCAACCUAACUUGAUGACAUACUAAACGAUGUUGAGGAUGUGUGUUGUUGACUUUCUAGAAACGAAUUUUUAUAGGGACACAGCAUAAAAUAUAGAGAAUAUAUAUAUGUAUCUUUUUUUUUAUCAAAAGUAUAAAAGUAUUUUAAUUCAUUUUUUUGGUCAUUUAUAUAAAACCAUAGAAACUUGAUAAACCAAUAAUGUAUAUCUAUCUAUAUAUUAUUAUAAAAGAGGAUUGAUCUCUCCAGGUGAAGCCACGUAGGCGGACACGUCAUAAAGUCGGCUUCUAUAAACAUGACAUGUAUCCUCUAAUUUAAAACGUUCCGUUUCACUAAUUUUGUGUUUCGGGGUGAUUUGAGCUUUAUUUAGAUAGACGUACAUUUCGUGGAAGUCCAUAUUUCGUUCGUUUGUUUUUUGUAUUGAUUUUACUAGUGGACUUGAAUUUUUUUUACGGAUAGGCUUUGAUUUACAUUAUUUGGGCUAAAAAUCAACAAAAAAGUAUUUCAUUUCACGCUCCUAUCCUCUUCUUACCUUCUCUUUAUCACGAGCGUUGAUCAUUGGUUUCUAGGGUUCAUCCUCUACUGCAAUCUCUGGUUAUGUCAACCAACGAUGGUGGUUUUUAAAGGUUUAGAGAAAUGAAACUUCCUGAGUAAUCAAUGCUUCAAUUUAGGUUCGUGUCGUUUAGUCUUAGAUUCAUCUUCUCCAAUACGUUACCGGAAGUAUUGAUGCAUUGCCAUUAACAACCAUUUCACAUUCAGUGCUUUUUAUCUGAGAAAGGCGGUGAAAUCUAUUAUUAUAAAAAAAGGUUUGAUCUCUCCUGGUGAAGUCACGUAGGUACACGUCAUAAAGUCGGCUUCUAUAAACAUGACAAGUGUCCUCUGAUUUAAAACGUUCCGUUUCGUUUCAUUAAGUUUUGUGUUUCGAGGUGAUUUGGGCUUUAUUUAGAUAGACGUACAUUUCGUGAAAGUCCGCAUUUCGUUUGUUUAUUUUGUCUAUUGAUUUUACGAGUGGGCUUGGAUUUUUUUUAUAGAUGGGCUUUGAUUUACAUUAUUUGGACUAAAAAUCAACGAAAAAGUAUCUCAUUUCAUGCUCCUAUCCUCUUCUCUCAUUCUCUUCUUCACGAGCGUUGAUCAUUGGUUUCUAGGAUUCAUCCUCUACUGCAAUCUCUGAUUAUGUCAACCAACGAUGGCGGUUUUGAAAGGUUUAGUGAGACUAAACUUCCUGAGUAAUCAAUGCUUCAAUUUAGGUUCGUGUCGUUUAGUCUAAGAUUUGUCUUCUCCAAUACGUUACCGGAAGUAUUGAUGCAUUGCCAUUAACAACCAUUUCACAUUCAGUGCUUCUUAUCUGAGAAAGGCGGUGAAAUCUAUUAUUAUAAAAAGGGUUUGAUCUCUCCUGGUGAAUCUACGUAGGUACACGUCAUAAAGUCGACUUCCAUAAACAUGACAUGUGUCCUCUGAUUUAAAACGUUCCGUUCCAAUAAGUUUUGUGUUUCAGGGUGAUUUGGGCUCUAUUUAGAAAGACGUGCAUUUCGUGGAAGUCUAUAUUUCGUUCGUUUGAUUUUACGAGUGGGCUUGGAUUUUUUUUACGGAUGGGAUUUGAUUUACACUAUUUGGGCUUAAAAUCAAUGAAAGGGUAUCUCAUUUCACGCUUCUAUCCUCUUCUCACCGUCUCUUGUUCAUGAGCGUCAAUCAUUGGUUUCUAGGGUUCAUCCUCUACUGCAGUCUCUGAUUAUUUCAACCAAAGAUGGCGGUUUUGAAAGGUUUAGUGAGAUGAAACUUUAUGGUAAUCAAUGCUUCAAUUUAAGUUUUGUCGUUUAGUCUAAGAUUCAUCUUCUCCAAUACGUUACCGGAAGUAUUGAUGCAUUCCCAUUAACAACCAUUUCACAUCCAAUGCUUCUUAUCUGAGAAAGACAGUGGAAUCUAUUAUUAUAAAAAUGGGUUUCAUCUCUUCUGGUAAAACCAUGUAGGUACACGUCAUAAAGUCGACUUCUAUAAACAUGACACGGUCCUUUGAUUUAAAACAUUCUGUUUCAUUAAGUUUUGUGCAUGCUUCGAGGUGAUUUGGGCUUUAUUUAGAUAGACGUACAUUUCGUGGAAGUCCACAUUUCGUUCAUUUGGUUUUUGUAUUGAUUUUACAAGUUGGCUUGAAUUUUUUUUAUGGAUUGGCUUUGAUUUACAUUAUUUGGGCUAAAAAUCAACUAAAAAGUAUCUCAUUUCACGCUCCUAUCCUCUUCUCACCUUCUCUUCUUCACGAGUGUCGAUCAUUGGUUUCUAGGGUUCAUUCUCUACUGCAAUCUCUGAAUAUGUCAACCAACAAUGGCGGUUUGGAAAGGCCUAGUGAGAUGAAACUUCCUGAGUAAUCAAUGCUUCAAUUUAGGUUUGUGUCGUUUAGUUUAAGAUUCAUCUUCUCUAAUACGUUACCAGAAGUAUUGAUGCAUUGUCAUUAACAACCAUUUCACAUUCAAUGCUUCUUAUCUGAGAAAGGCGGUAGAAAUUUACCUAUAAAAAAGUAAGCUUCAUCGCUUGAACCUCAUCCUCACAAUCCCUAAUAGCACUGGAGAUUUCUUUUUCAAUAUAAUGGCUAACUCAUCUAUCCUAAUCACUGAUUUGAAGGCUGGCCUACAUGUUCUUCCAUUGUCGAGGUGCAACUGAUCAAGUUUUAAGAUGUAAAAGCAUUGUCUUCUUCUAAUGAGUUUCAGUGAUUUGGAGAAGAAUAUGGGUAGUCUUCAGCUUCCUCUGUUUCUUUUGAAAGCACACAUAUUCUUGACUAAUGACCACUAUAUCUGAAAAUUUUAUUAACAACACUAUUUUAUCUGUUGAUUGUACGUUCUCUCCAUCUCCUUAAUUUCCCUUUUGUACAUUUUUCAGUGAAAUUUGAUUUCUUUUUUUUUCAAAUGUCCCUCUUCAAAUUCGAUCUUUUAUCUGUUUAUUAAUGAUGGGGUUUUAGAAAAGGAAUGAACUUUGCAAGAAUCUUCACGUAACCUGAGUAAAAAAAGUUUCCACCUUUCCAUUUGUGGGGAUCUUGACAAUGGCAGGUAAGGAGUCAGAGUCUAGACUACGCCUACCUCUGAUCUUGACAAGAUUCUGGCCUGUAUGCACAGUAUGUCUCUACUCAAAAGCAAUUUUGUAAUUGUUGUUGUUUUGAUGGAGGCAUCAAUUUUACUGUCUUUUGAGGCCUUCAUGUUGGAGAGUUUAAUUUGACAACAGUGAUCCAGAUUGCUCAGCUUGCUUUUAAGCAUUGCCAAAAUAAGAAUCAACGCGAAAGGAUUAUUGUUCUCGCUGUAAGGUAUUCACUUUCUUGCCUAUUUUUCUUUUUUAAAAGCUAUCGAAUUAGAAAUAAUUUAUAUUGGGCGUGAUUGGUUGGGUUGUAACUGUAGAAAAUUUACUUUAGCAUUUUGUCUGUAGGAUUUUUGAUUUAGCUUUAAGUGAUGUAGUUUUUAAAAUUUCCUACAGCUAAAAAAUAGGGUUUUAGAAAAUAAGAUGUUUACAUCUAUUUUUUGUGUGUUUUUUCUGUAGCUUUAAUUUUUUGGUUGUAGCUUUAAAAACCAAGAUAAAGCAUGAUUAGUAGUAUUUAGGGUUGUAGAUGAAAAUUAAAGCUAAAGUCACUUCCUACAUCCCAACUAAUCACCCCCAUUGUUAACAAAGUAAUCUUCAUUGGAAAUUUCUCCUCCAAUAUGCUAAAUCUGAUGCAAAGGAAUGGAAACAAGCAGAGAGCAUGGGAGGGGAUGAGCCUCAACAGAGGAGAAGAACAGCUAAGGUGCAGCGACAAAAUCAUUGGAUUCUGUCUCCUCGAGACUGGAUCAAAUGCAACACUGAUGGGUCUUUUCUCGAUGAAAAUCUAAUGGAACUGCAGGGUGGGUUUUACGUGACAGUGUAUUAACAGUGAAGGUAACUAUAAAGGAUGCUCUCAAGCAGUGGGAAGGAAGGUACAAAACCCUUUCGUAAUACAAGCCCUUUUGAUGGCAUUACAACAUUGUUGGGCUCUCGGAUCCAAAAAACAAUUAUCACGGAGGGAGACAGUAAAAAAGCUGUUGACGUAUUAAACAACAAAAUGCUACUCUUUGAACGAGGGAGAUCAAAUGGUGGUCGACUAAGUUUGAAGCAGUUUCAUUCUGAUGGACUAAAAGGGAGGCAGACAAAGUAGCAGAUUGAUUAGAAACUACUAGGCCUUUAGACAAUUCUUUUAAAUUUCAUUAUCAUGUAUCACAAUAUAUCACUAGUCUUUCUUCAUGAAGAUCAUGUAUUCUCGAUUGCAUAAACAUAGAUGUUAUAAAAAAAUAAAUUUUAUAUUUUUAAUUUGUGAUAUUUAUUCAAGAUUGUUGAAUGUUUUUACUGGAGAUAAAAAAAGAAGAUAAUGCUUUUGGAUCAUAAUGUUGGACUGAAGAUAUACUCAAAAUUCACAUAAAUCCUUAAACUGAUACAUUAGUGCUUGACAUUGUAAACGAAAUAUAAAAAUAAAAGAUUAAGUUAGAAAAUAUAUAAAAUUUUAUUUUUAAUAACAAUGUAAUAACCUGAUUGGUAUUUUGAAAAGAUAGUAAUU